CACGCGUUCACCGCGGAGAGCUCUACAAAACCCAUACAAUUAAUCUUGAGGACCCAACUCUCUUGAAGGAGAAGGUUAAUCUUGUCUCUUUGGACCUUGGGUGUGGUUGUGUAUAUGUGAAUAUUGGAGCUUGAUUGGUGAUUUUGAAAAGCUUGAAAAAGGGGAUUUGGUGGUGAAAAAUC